rnacentral:tRNA from 1 species
CAAAGUAAAGCUAAAUUAGUAUAGUAUCUCAGUUACAUUGAGAAGAAUUACCGUGCAAGUCGGUUUGCUUUGA